rnacentral:rRNA from 1 species
AUUGAACGCUGGCGGCAGGCCUAACACAUGCAAGUCGAGCGGAUGAAGGGAGCUUGCUCCUGGAUUCAGCGGCGGACGGGUGAGUAAUGCCUAGGAAUCUGCCUGGUAGUGGGGGAUAACGUCCGGAAACGGGCGCUACUACUGCAUACGUCCUGAGGGAGAAAGUGGGGGAUCUUCGGACCGCACGCUAUCAGAUGAGCCUAGGUCGGAUUAGCUAGUUGGUGGGGUAAAGGCCUACCAAGCCGACGAUCCGUAACUGGUCUGAGAGGAUGAUCAGUCACACUGGAGGUGAGACGCGGUCCAGGCUCCUACGGGAGGGAGCAGUGGGGAAUAUUGGACAGUGGGGGAAAGCCUGAUCCAGCCAGGCCGCGUGUGAGAAGAAGGUCUUCGGAUUGUAAAGCACUUUAAGUUGGGAGGAAGGGCAGUAAGUUAAUACCUUGCUGUUUUGACGGUACCAACAGAAUAAGCACCGGCUAACUUCGUG